GUUUCUGAAGGAGUUCUGAUUGUAACACUGUCAACCCACUGAGUGCCAGGGCUAAUUGAGCUAAUUUGGUUGCCCAGGAAGGUGUCUCCAUCCUCUCUCACUGAGGUGUGCAUCCUUCCACCCUAACCUUCAGCUAAGAAGAAAAGCCUCUACCUCCUCUGGUAUUAGAGGACCUUUCUUCACUCAAGUGUCAACAAAUGACCACCCUCCCCUGCUGGAUCCUCUAAACAGGAUCACAAGAUCUUGAACUCAAUAUAGAACACCAGCUAUAAAUAGCAAAUCUCUGCUAAAAGGUGCUACUUU
ensembl:misc_RNA 7SK 7SK RNA